GGGCAUGACAACCCAUUCCAGUAUGCUUACCUGGAGAAUCCCAUAAACAGAGUUUCCUGGUGGGCUCCAGACCGUAGUGUCACACAGAGUACAACAUGACUGAAACAACUUGGCACACACAGGGAAGAAGUGCCAAUAACUUUGUUGCAGCCUAUCUUUAAAAGCAGAAGGAGCCAUGCUGGUCAUUAGUUUUAGCGGCAGCACAGAGACAAUCAAUACAGGUGUCACAUCAUGUGUUCCAUCAUGCUAGAGGAUAAUAAAACAAUAUUUAUUCUUGUAGGUGAAAAUGGCUGAAGAAUCCUGAAUUACUCUAGCAUCUCUUCCCUCAGUGGCUCUACAAGACAACCAGUUAUAAAACAGAUGAAGUUUUCUUUAAUAUCUUUGAACCUCAGUUCUCUCAUCUAUGGAAUUAAGGAGCAUGAGAGCAGCCAGAAGUAACCUCAAGGAGGCAGGAUGAUGAUUGAGGAGAGGUCUCCAUAUUCACCCAUAGAAGUUUUCCAGGCUGUGCAGAAGCUACGGGAGGGCAGGAAACUGCUUUCUUCUUGCACAAUGAGAAGGUCCACUCUUUAAACCUUUCAGUUACAUGUGUGUUCACUUAACGCCUGUGAAAUGUGCAAGAGUUACUCACAUUCCUUCUCAUUAACCCCACUCUCUUUUUUUUCCCCUGUGCUGGGAGAUUUCUAUCAUUUCUUAAAAUAAUUGCCAGGGUUAUGCCAGAUAUAUAGAUCAAUUAAGUCAAAUGGUGCCUCUGAAAACAAAUGGGAGCAUGAAAGCCUCACUUUUAGGUUGCUGGGGGAUUUUUUUGGUUUGUUUUUUUUUUACCAUCUCCAGACACCUGAUGAUGGUAAUACCAUCCUUCAUAUGACUCCAUGUGCCAAAAAAAUGUAGUUAAGAAUGUGCAUGCAUGCAUUUUAAGUCUCUUCAGUCUUGUCUGACUCUUUGUGACCCUAUGGACUGGAGCCCACCAGGCUCCUCUGUCCAUGGGAUUUUUCAGGCAAAAAUACCAAAGUGGGUUUCCAUGCCCUCCUCCAGGGCAUCUUCCCCAGCCAGGGAUCAAACCCACAUCUCUUAUGUCUCCUGCAUUGGCAUCAGGUUCUUUACCAUUGGCGCCACUUGGAAAGCCCAAUUAAGAAUGUUGGUGUUCUGUUAGAAAUUGGUGAAUUAUAAUCGACCAUUCAUGUAAUUAGAAAAGGCAACCAAGAGGUUGAGAAUAGAUUUUGUGAUCAAAGAAACUUUGGGUGCUGGAAAUACUAAUGGAGAUUAAUGGAAAUUAAGCCUCAGUCUAUCUUCUGUUUAUUAAGGAUUAUAUUACCUUCUCUUCUUUACCUUUUAAGACAUGGGAAGCUGGGAGGGGACAAUCUCUUUCAGGCUACAUGUUUAACUUGCUUGUUCAGUUUCUCCUUAACAGUAGCAGGAUGAAAAAUUAUGUAUACAUAUAUAACCUCACAAAAAGAACAUCAUUCUCUUUUCAUCCUCAUACCAUGUCCACUCUCACUGAACUUCUCCAAGAUGAGCUAAAGUAAUAAAUCUAUUUAAUUUUGCAAACGUACUUCUGGAAUUGUCCCUGGCACCCAGGAUUAUCCAAGGUAAAUAAGCAUCUCUUACAGCUUUUCUCUUAAUAAAGUGAAAAUUAUAGUUUAGAAGAAUUUCUGAAAUAAGAUUAUUGGGAUUUAUAAGGAACUUCCAUAAAAGAGUAUGACCUACUGAAAAGAAACGGGACAGAAGUUUUUGGCACCUUUGUUGAUUCAGUUGACACUAGCUUCUAGAAUGGUGCAUUACAGAAGCCCUGGCACGUUUAGAACGUCCAUCCAAACACUGUGAUAACCACAGACACUUUAGGAAGACCUCAGCAUUCAUUUGUGCUGUGACUACGACACAGUGUCCAGGCUUCUACCUUCUGAAUGGCUUACUCUGAUGUUGCUCUUUUCAGACGACUGAAUCAACAACAAUACAAAGGUGAUUUUACACUGGUUACUCACACCUAAGGUCAUCACGCCGGUGCCCUAGAUAGGCUAUCAAUUGUUCCAUUUACAGCAUACUCCAGAAAACAGUUCCAGAUAGAGGGCCAACCCUUGCAGCCAGGGAGUAGGUCACAAUGACUAGAGUCCAGGAAAACAGUUGAGUCACUGUGGGCGGAAGAGAUAAAACCCGCACUAGGGCAGGAGUUAUGCUUUCAAUGAGCACCCAACCUUGUUAACAAAUAUCAACACUCAGGACAAAAAGUUACGGUCAGAACCCUCAGAAGGCUGGCAAGGUUGUACGUCACUAUAACCACUUCAAGAAUCUGUUUGGAAUUAUCUGCUAUAACUGAAAUUUUACACCAAGAAACAUACAAAAAUGCUUAUGGUAGUGUUAUUUGUAACACCUCCCCCACAUGGAAAGAACUCAAAAGUUCACAACAGAAGAAUGAGUUUUUUAGUGUGACAUACAGUGUCUCCUACAUCCAAACCUUCAAGUUGCAAACUGGCAAAGAGGCGAACAUUCAUUUGCUUGUCCAGUCAUGUAAGUUAUUUAGCUCACGCGUCUGGUGUACGUUGUCAUGUGUGGGUAUCCUCUACAAGUGGUUGUGCUUUUGUGUACUUCACUGUGUAGCACUGUAUAGAGCAUUGUAGUGCAGGGUCUUUAUUUCCAGCCCAGGAUGCCUGGAAGCAAGAAGGUAGAUAGAACUAAAUCUAGCAAGGAACCAGAUACUGUGCCAUCAGUGUCAGUCAUGAGUAAAAUUACAGCUUGCCCUCCAUCUCCUAUUGCUGACAGUCCUUCGGCUCCACCAUUUCCCACCCCCUCUCCCUCCUCCAGUCAGUUACUCUUCUUGCCUGUUCACUUGAUGCCAGCCCCUAUAUGCCAGCUGUUGUACUAUACUACUGUACUCAUCAAGAUACUGUCAGAUUAAAAAUGUUCCCUUUAUUUUUUGUGUUUGUUUUUUAUGUAUUGCUUGUGUGAAAGCAUUAAAAACAUAUUAUAGUAUA